rnacentral:misc_RNA from 1 species
UCCGGCUUGUCACCGGCGGUUUCUCCAGAGUGCCCAGCUCUACCUGAUGGCAACUGAAGAUGGGGGUUGCGCUCGUUGCGGGACUUAACCCAACAUCUCACGACACGUGCUGACGACAACCAUGCACCACCUGUAUACGGCCCCGAAGGACACCAUAUCUCUAUGGCUUUUCCCUACAUGUCAAGCCCAGGUAAGGUUCUUCGCGUUGCCUCGAAUUAAGCAACAUGCUCCGCCGCUUGUGCGGGCCCCCGUCAAUUCCUUUGAGUUUUAGCCUUGCGGCCGUACUCCCCAGGCGGGGCACUUAAUGCGUUAGCUACGGCACGGAACCCGUCGAUAGAGUCCCACACCUAGUGCCCAACGUUUACGGCGUGGACUAC